UGUAGAAGAAAAAUAGAAC
rnacentral:snRNA from 1 species